rnacentral:rRNA from 1 species
GAUGAACGCUUGCGGCGUGCUUAACACAUGCAAGUCGAACGGAAAGGCUCCUGCCUGCCGGGGUACUCGAGUGGCGAACGGGUGAGUAACACGUGGGUGAUCUGCCCUGCACUUCGGGAUAAACCUGGGAAACUGGGGCUAAUAUCGGAUAGGACGAUUGGUUGGAUGCGAUUGUGGAGAGUUUUUCGGUGUGGGAUUGGCUCGCGGCCUAUCAGCUUGUUGGUGGGGUAAUGGCCUACCAACGGGUCGACGGGUAGCCGGCCUGAGAGGGUGUACGGCCACCUUGGGACUGAGAUACGGAGCAGACUCCUACGGGCGGCAGCAGUGGGGAAUAUUGCACAAUGGGCGCAAGCCUGAUGCAGAGACGCCGCGUGGGGGAUGACGGCCUUCGGGUUGUAAACUCCUUUCGAUAGGGACGAAGCGAAAGUGACGGUACCUGGAGAAGAAGCACCGGCUAACUACGUG